rnacentral:rRNA from 1 species
AUUGAACGCUGGCGGCAGGCCUAACACAUGCAAGUCGAGCGGAUGAAGGGAGCUUGCUCCUGGAUUCAGCGGCGGACGGGUGAGUAAUGCCUAGGAAUCUGCCUGGUAGUGGGGGAUAACGUCCGGAAACGGGCGCUAAUACCGCAUACGUCCUGAGGGAGAAAGUGGGGGAUCUUCGGACCUCACGCUAUCAGAUGAGCCUAGGUCGGAUCAGCUAGGUGGUGGGGUAAAGGCCUACCAAGGCGACGAUCCGUAACUGGUCUGAGAGGAUGAUCAGUCACACUGGAACUGAGACACGGUCCAGACUCCUACGGGAGGCAGCGGUGGGGAAUAUUGGACAAUGGGCGAAAGCCUGAUCCAGCCAUGCCGCGUGUGUGAAGAAGGUCUUCGGAUUGUAAAGCACUUUAAGUUGGGAGGAAGGGCAGUAAGUUAAUACCUUGCUGUUUUGACGUUACCAACAGAAUAAGCACCGGCUAACUUCGUG